rnacentral:rRNA from 1 species
UUUUUUGGAGAGUUUGAUCCUGGCUCAGGACGAACGCUGGCGGCGUGCUUAACACAUGCAAGUCGAACGGAAAGGCCCGCAUCAUUUUUUUGGUGGGGGUGCUCGAGUGGCGAACGGGUGAGUAACACGUGGGUGAUCUGCCCUGUACUUCGGGAUAAGCUUGGGAAACUGGGUCUAAUACCGGAUAGGACCAUGGUUUAGUGUCUCAUGGUGGAAAAAUUAUUGUUUUGGUGCAGGAUGAGCUCGCGGCCUAUCAGCUUGUUGGUGGGGUAA